AUGUGGUUCCCAGUAAGGCUUCCAAGGGCCACAUCCCUAAUGGCCACUCUACUUUUUCACAUUUUUCUCCCCAGUCAUGGCCAUUUAACCACACCUGCAGGAUGCACUAAACUCCAACCUUCUGGAUCAAUUCUCUUCUUGGCAAGGACCCUCCUCAGAAUACUGCACAUUACCCUACAGUCACUGAGAGUGAGCUACUGGCAGGACCGUCCCUCCUCAGGAAAGGAGUCCUCCAAAAAGGAUAAACAUGCAUCUUCUGGGCAGGGCAGUACCAUGAAAAGAGGAGGAAGGGCUUCCUGUAAGAGUGUGGGAGAAUUAGUCUCUCUCAAGUAACCAUCCUGUGAUUCAUGAAGCAUUGUUGUUGCUGUUUUAUUCCAGCCAGUUUAUUGCUGUUGAGCACCCCCAGAAGACAUGGAGAAAGAAUAUCACUUUGCUUCCUCUCUAGGGAUGAAUGACUAGAACCACCUAAUGUGAAAGUUUGGGGAAUCUUUCACUGCUGAGGUUGGGAGAUUGGGAGGUCUGUGGUGAUUCUGGAACUCAUUUUACAAAAUAGACAAUGAAGUAAUUGAUGCACUGUUUUCAAUUAAAAUUGCAUUUUUGUGGUUUUUUUCUUGUGAAAAUAAAAGCUUGGAAGGAUGAUGGUAUAACA
rnacentral:lncRNA from 12 species